CCAGCGGAGGGAUCAUUGCUGGAACGCGCUUCGGCGCACCCAGAAACCCUUUGUGAACUUAUACCUAUUGUUGCCUCGGCGUAGGCCGGCUUUUUCUAAAAGCCCCCUGGAAACAGGGAGAAGCCCGCCGGCGGCCAACCAAACUCUUGUUUCUACAGUGAAUCUCUGAGUAAAAAACAUAAAUGAAUCAAAACUUUCAACAACGGAUCUCUUGGUUCUGGCAUCGAUGAAGAACGCAGCGAAAUGCGAUAAGUAAUGUGAAUUGCAGAAUUCAGUGAAUCAUCGAAUCUUUGAACGCACAUUGCGCCCUCUGGUAUUCCGGAGGGCAUGCCUGUUCGAGCGUCAUUUCAACCCUCAAGCCUGGCUUGGUGAUGGGGCACUGCCUGUAAAAGGGCAGGCCCUGAAAUCUAGUGGCGAGCUCGCCAGGACCCCGAGCGUAGUAGUUAUAUCUCGCUCUGGAAGGCCCUGGCGGUGCCCUGCCGUUAAACCCCCAACUUCUGAAAAUUUGACCUCGGAUCAGGUAGGAAUACCCGCUGAACUUAAGC
rnacentral:rRNA from 1 species